rnacentral:rRNA from 1 species
GCGUGCCUAACACAUGCAAGUCGAACGAAGCUUGACGGAUGAUUUCUUCGGAAUGAAACCAGAUAUGACUUAGUGGCGGACGGGUGAGUAACACGUGAGCAACCUGCCUUUCAGAGGGGGAUAACGGCUGGAAACGAUCGCUAAUACCGCAUGAUGUGUUCGGAUGGCAUCAUCUGAACAUCAAAGAUUUAUCGCUGAAAGAUGGGCUCGCGUCUGAUUAGAUAGUUGGUGGGGUAACGGCCUACCAAGUCUACGAUCAGUAGCCGGACUGAGAGGUUGAACGGCCACAUUGGGACUGAGAUACGGCCCAGACUCCUACGGGAGGCAGCAGUGGGGAAUAUUGCACAAUGGGGGAAACCCUGAUGCAGCAACGCCGCGUGAAGGAUGACGGUUUUCGGAUUGUAAACUUCUUUUCUUAGUGACGAAGACAGUGACGGUAGCUAAGGAAUAAGCAUCGGCUAACUACGUGCCAGCAGCCGCGGUAAUACGUAGGAUGCAAGCGUUAUCCGGAUUUACUGGGUGUAAAGGGAGCGCAGGCGGGACUGCAAGUUGGAUGUGAAAUACCGUGGCUUAACCACGGAACUGCAUCCAAAACUGUAGUUCUUGAGUGAAGUAGAGGCAAGCGGAAUUCCGAGUGUAGCGGUGAAAUGCGUAGAUAUUCGGAGGAACACCAGUGGCGAAGGCGGCUUGCUGGGCUUUAACUGACGCUGAGGCUCGAAAGUGUGGGGAGCAAACAGGAUUAGAUACCCUGGUAGUCCACACUGUAAACGAUGAUAGCUAGGUGUGGGGGGUCUGACCCCUUCCGUGCCGGAG